GAUAGAAUGAGGUGGUUGAGUUUCUGACUUCAAAGAAUUUGUUAUUGCUCUUGUGAAAUUUUCAUGGAUGAGUGUCUUUGAUGUUUCACUGAACAUAUAGGGUUCUAUUGUAGCUAUUGAAUGAAUUAUGAAACUAUGUUAUAUAGAGAACAAAAGUUCUACUACUAUUCAUGGAAUUGAGGUAUAAUUACUUUAUGAUUCAAUUGUUAAUAGUCAUAAAGAAUGAGACGAAGGAAGAUUCAUAAACUUUCACAAACAUAGAUACUUUGCCUCACAUACCUUUACUUUGGCCUUUUUAAGCGUAUCACAAUGUUUGUUACCUCUUUCACCAAUACACUAUGACAAUAUAUAUCAAGAGGAACCAAUAUUAGCAAUAAUGCUCAUGUUUUAGUCAUUUAAAUAUAUUAUCAAACACUUGGUGGGCAUAAAGCAUCAUAGCCUUUAUUAAUGGUGUUUCUACACCCAACAACCCAUCCUCACUCCUAGAUAAUUCUAAAAUCUCAAAUUGUUAUAAUCAAUAUCAUUCUUAAUCACCCAUGAGAUAAAUAACACCCUUAAUCAAUAAUAUAAUGUAUGAAAGAAGACAAACACUAGGUGUAGCUUCUUCCUAAUAGGUUAGUUGGACUUUUUCUUCCUAUGUUGUACAGUAUUUAUUUUGUUAAGCAUGUUCUCACUAUAGUUUCUGUCUUACUUCUAUUCAUUUGAUUUUGUUUGCCUUAUAAAAAAAAUAAUUUGAUUUUGCUUACUGUUAGAAGGGAAGCGUUGGAGCAAUGCUAAGUUGUCUGAACUAUAGGCCAUGACCGUGAAAUCAGCUACUAAUGCUUGAUUUUCAGGGUAGGCUGCGUGAAUGCGGGAUGCUUUAUGCACGGCGCUGCGAUUUUUUCUUGUUCGUCAUAGCUUGUUAUAGAUUUACCUUCUUUGUUCCAGUUACUUGUAAUAUCAUAGCUUACUAGAUUUCAGUUUGAUGGUUUCUUUUAUGAAAAUUUUCUUUUCUUCCACAGGGAUGGAUUUUAUCAUCAAGGUGUGGUGGGUUCAUGAAAUCUUAUUUCAGUAAAUCGGAGAAGUUGACUAGCGCCUUUCUAAAGCAGAAUCAAUGGUACGAAAUGCCUACUCAUCAUCAGAACUAAGAGACACUUAAUCUAAGAUAUGAGAACGAUAUAUUUUCGCCCUCAUGUUUGUAUGAGAAAGCUAUUAUUUAUACCCCCUUAUUUAGACGCACACUACCUUAGUUGGCUUUAGAUGACAGACCUGUAAGACUGUGCCUACCGUUCCUUUCUGUUCAUGAACCCCUCAUAGAUGAUAUAUCUAGUAUCAUAGGUAGAGUGAUAUCUCCAGUUUGCCCAUCCUGGCAUUGUGUUUGUUAUGGGACUUGAGCUUAUCUGUGCACCACAACUGGGACCCUUGUCUUCAUGCAAUCAGGCUAUUCUUUGCUACUAAAGUGGCACCUUGUCUCUUGGUCUAUCUCGUCCUCCCUCUCCUAACCUGUCCGUAGUUGCAUAUUUGGACGCUUACUGGCAUAUCAACCCGAUACCUGUUGCUCUACUAUGGUUAUGCUGUUUUUCUUGGUUCUGACAUUGUCGCCUUGAGUGCAAGAAACAACCUGCUGGUACUAAACCCAGUGCAUAUUGACAACUCCAAUCCAUCAAUUACAUUGACAAAGCAUAUUCAGAUAAGAGAUAUAGAUUAGUAUUAAGUCAUACCUAUGAAAUGGAUCUAAUCGAUCAAAUGUAAAUUUCAAAGUAGAUACAUAUAUGAGUAAAAUUUUCUUUGUGCAACGUAUAGCCUGAUCGUUCUGUUUCUUUUCUACUUAUUCUUUUGAUUUUAUGAUUGUAGCUGCAGAAUUGUUCAUGUAUCAUGUAUUCUGGUAGGGCUAAUUGUACUUCCCACAUUUUUGCUUUGUCAAGUUUUGCAUCAGCUCUAUUUUGGAAGCAUGUCACGGUAUUGCUUUUCGGACCAGCUAGUAAAUCUAUUGGGAGAAAAGCAGUUAAACUUGCUGAAUAAUGCCACCAAACUCUUAGGUCAUUCAUAUCAAACUGAUAUUGUGUUGAGUAAAGUGGCAUUAAUGCCUAUAGCGCUGAUAUGUUCGAGAGAGCACUCUGUCACUUUGGCUGCCUAUCUGAUGCAAAAUCCUUGUGAUAGUGGCUCCAACAACCUGCAUUUCAAUCCCCAUUUUUUUUGUUGAAUUCCCUUGAGAAGGCAGGAAGAAGAUAAAGGAUAUAUGAAACCUUCUUGACUAGGAUUUAGGUCUAAUGCUUCCAAUAAUCUUAAGAACAAAUUCAGGGAGAUUAUGAAUCAAUUUGGUCAAAUCUGUGGUGGUCUCCAUAGCUAGUUGACUAUGAACCAAAUAGAAACAGAGAUCAUUCACAAUAUUAUAUAGUCCUAAUAAAUUAUCGUUGUGUAAGAAUGAUGUAUAAGAAGAAUAAGGAAGCAAUACUUUUUUCCAAAUGUAGACAAGUAGCUUCUUACCCUUUAAUAUUGAUUUAGGAGUCAUAGAGUUUUCUCAUUCACUCAUUUGUUUGAUCAUUUC
rnacentral:lncRNA from 1 species